rnacentral:rRNA from 1 species
ACGGAGGAUCCAAGCGUUAUCCGGAUUUAUUGGGUUUAAAGGGCGCGCAGGCGGAUCAAUAAGUCAGGGGUGAAAAAUUUCAGCUCAACCGGAAUAGUGCAUUUGAUACUGUUAAACUUGAGUCUAAUUGACGGGGGUAGAAUGCCAGGUGUAGCGGUGAAAUGCGUAGAGAUGUCGAGGAACACCGGUGGCGAAGGCGGCCCACUGGAUUAUUACUGACGCUCAUGUGCGAAAGCGUGGGGAUCAAACAG